AGUUAGGACCUGAAGGCUACCAACAGCAACGUGAGUGAUUUGUAAGAAGAUACUUGCUCCUCAAAUGACUGCAGCUCCAGCCAAUACCUUGAAUGCAGCCUUCUGAGAGACCCUGAGUCAGAGGACUCAGCUAAACUCUGCCUGAAUUUCUGACCUACAGAAACUAUGAGAUAUUUCUUUUGGUCACCUGCAACAAAUAUCCUCUGAAGAUUUUUUUUUAUGGAGUUUCCUACAAAUUCCCACAAAAAAUGCUGCAACAGUGAUGAACAAAAGCAAAGUGACACGCAAUGGAUCCAACCAUAUAUUUGCUUCAUUUUUAGAGAGAAGAAAGUAAGCUUCUUCAUGUACCUAGAUGUCAUCUUUGGGAGAAUAAAGAGUUGGGGAAAGAAUUUUGAAACAUAAAUGUUAUCAGUUUGGGUCCACGUCAGGAUGUAGAAACCCCACAGUGAUUUGAGCAGGGUAAGUUUAAUAUAAGAAAUUGUUAAAUUAUGACCAAAGAGUAACUAUAAGAUUUAAGAUAAUGCUAUCUGGUAUUCUUAGACUGAGGGGAGGGUACUUAAGGAAAGACAAACUUGCAACCAGGGCUCGCUACUCCAGGCUGGAGUUCAGACUUCCUUGGAAAAGGUGAGUUGCAAUACACUGGAUAUUAGAGAGGUUCUCUGGUUUGCCUGGGCUAAAGCUAAUCUGUGGUUACUGGGCAAGCAGCAAACAACCCUCUGGAGCUUAGGUGGGUACUGGAGAGCUGCAGCUGGUGGCUGGGUGUGCAGGCAUGCAGAGGGAGCAGGGAUUCUGGUGUUAACCCCCUGGGGGUUGGCAGUCCACAGGUGAGCCAGAGCUGGUGGCUGGGCAUGUGAGUGUGCAAGGGAUGGGGAGCAUCAAUGCAGAUAAAAGGCCUAGGGUGUACAGUGUCCAUGAGGCAAGUCACAGCCUGUGGCAAGGUGGGUGGACUUGCAGAGGGAAUGGAAGAAGGGCUGGAACAUGUGGUGGUCCUGUUAAGAGGGCUGUGGCAUCAGGAGGACAGUAGGAGACAAAUCCGGUGGUGGUAGUGGGGUACUAGUAUAAGAAAGAGGACCGGAGCAUGCAGUGUUCAUGCUAGGAGGGUCAUGGGAAGGUGAUCAGCAGGCCAGGCCUAAGCUAUGAAGUUGCCAAGGAACUAUGCCUCUGGAGAGGUGUCUGGGGCAGAAUACCAUACAACUGACUCACCUCCCAUCCUCCUGCAUUGCCCCUCCAGCACCUUCUACUGAGAAAGCUAAAUGUCAUACUCAGUGUAAAGGAGAAAUGCUUGAAGAAAUUCCAUCCCUUUUCACAGAGCAUGUAUUGAAGAAUGAAUUUGGAGCUGAGAGGCAAUACUUAGUAGGUGGUACACUAAAUCUUUACUCUGGAGAGACCAGAUCAUCCAAAAGAAACUUGGACACUCUCUUAACAGAUGUCUAAUUAACAGAGUGGCUGGAUUAACCAAUGUGUUCCAAAUUCUCCAUAAAAUGUAUCCAGAUUCAUGCUCAUUGCAUGAUGUUGACGCGUAGCUGGUUGACUCUGCUCUGGUAUGCUAUUACAUUUCUAUUUCCGUCCAAGUUGGGUGUUGUAUUUACUUGUAUUAGUUACCUAUUUGUUCCCAAGCCUAUUUAUAUUUACUGUGUUAGUUUUCUAUUGUUGCAUAACAAAUUAUCUGACCACUUAUACUAUAGUUUCUGGGGCCUGGAAUUCUGAUCAGCUUAGUCGGGCAAUUCUAACUUGGGAUCUCUCAGAGCUUGCGUCAAGCUGCUGGCUGGGUCUGCAGUCUUCUGAAAGUUUGCCUGGGGCUAAAGGAAGUUGAAAAACAGCUUACUCACAGAGCUGACAAGUUCAUGCUGGCUGCUGGGGAGCCCGUGUAGGCCUCUCCAUAAACUGACUGAGUGCUUUCAUGACAUGGCAGUUGGCUUACCCCCAG